CAUAAGGAGAGAGGCGAGCGAAAAAAAUUAGUAUAUUUCAUAUAAAUCAUCGUAGAUACAUAUAUUUGGGAUACCAUAUACAUGAUGAAUACAAAUACAUAAGGUGAGUGGCAAGGAAUAGACAAGCGAGAAAAUCAGUAUAUCCUAGAUACAUGUGAAUCCAUUUAAAUAUAACGAAUAUGGAACAAAAUUAGUAUGAAUGGUCAUUUUAAAAAGACAUAUCAUUAGAUUCUAAACUGGUAAUAUUUGUACAAUUUACCCCUAAUAAUUUCACUAUAGUUUAAAUAUGUUUAUUUUUUACCUUGUCCUACAUUUUCUUUGACUAACCUUCUGUUGACCAAAUAUUCCUUUUUUGACCAACUAACCAAAUUUCAAGAUUUGGGGGGAAAUUGAAAAAAAAAACAUAAAUAUAUUAGAUAUUUUUGACCAACUAACCAAAUUUCAUGAUUUGGGGAAAAAUUGGAAAAAAAACAUAACUAUAUAAUAUCUCUCAAUAAGUAUAUAAAAUAGGCAUGUUAUUAAUGAAUUAGACACUAUAUAAUGUUGUAAUAAGCAGCACACAAAAAUAUCAACAAACAAAAAAGUUUUUAAAAAAAAGAACUUUUUCUCAGGCAAUAUGGACAAGGCUUCAAGAACUCACAUAUUUUUUGUUGUCAUCCUCUUGAUCAUUUCAUGUGGUGCGGUACUAGGAGAGAAGUGUAAGACCAGAGAUGAUUGUCAUAUCAAAUGUAAGGGAUUUGGGUUGCCAACUUGUGUUGAUGGAACUUGUGUAUGUUUAGCACCCAAGACAUACUCCCAUAAUCAUAAAGGACAGAGGUGUAAGGAUGAACAAGAUUGUCAUAUAUAAAGAUCUUGAAUUGUAUUUUAAAGGGCAUUAUUGUAUAAGAUAAUGUUUUACUUAUAUGGCAAUAAAGUUUAUGUUCUAUUUUGGAUUC